rnacentral:rRNA from 1 species
AGCAGCCGCGGUAAUUCCAGCUCCAAUAGCGUAUAUUAAAGUUGUUGCAGUUAAAAAGCUCGUAGUUGAAUUUCGGGAUCAAUAUAUCGGUCGUGCCUCCGGUAUGCACUGGUAUUAUUGAUUUCUACCUUCUGACGAAUCAUGAUGUCAUUAAUUUGGUGUCAUGGGGAAUCAGGACUGUUACUUUGAAAAAUUAGAGUGUUUAAAGCAGGCACACGCUUGAAUACAUUAGCAUGGAAUAAUGAAAUAGGACGUUUGACCCUAUUUUGUUGGUUUCUAGGAUCGACGUAAUGAUUAAUAGGGAUAGUUGGGGGCAUUAGUAUUCAAUUGUCAGAGGUGAAAUUCUUGGAUUUAUUGAAGACUAACUACUGCGAAAGCAUUUGCCAAGGAUGUUUUCAUUAAUCAAGAACGAAAGUUAGGGGAUCGAAGACGAUCAGAUACCGUCGUAGUCUUAACCAUAAACUAUGCCGACUAGGGAUCGGAUGAUGUUAAUUUUAAUGACUCAUUCGGACG